UACGUAGGUGGCAAGCGUUAUCCGGAAUUAUUGGGCGUAAAGAGCGCGCAGGUGGUUGAUUAAGUCUGAUGUGAAAGCCCACGGCUUAACCGUGGAGGGUCAUUGGAAACUGGUCGACUUGAGUGCAGAAGAGGGAAGUGGAAUUCCAUGUGUAGCGGUGAAAUGCGUAGAGAUAUGGAGGAACACCAGUGGCGAAGGCGGCUUCCUGGUCUGUAACUGACACUGAGGCGCGAAAGCGUGGGGAGCAAACAGGAUUAGAUACCCCGGGUA
rnacentral:rRNA from 1 species